UGCAGUCGAGGGGUAGUUGUCUUCGGAUAAUGAGACCGGCGCACGGGUGCGUAACGCGUAUACAAUCUACCUUUUACAGAGGGAUAGCCCAGAGAAAUUUGGAUUAAUACCUCAUAGUAUUUUUGAAUGGCAUCAUUUGAUUAUUAAAGUUCCAACGGUAAAAGAUGAGUAUGCGUCCCAUUAGCUAGAUGGUAAGGUAACGGCUUACCAUGGCAACGAUGGGUAGGGGUCCUGAGAGGGAGAUCCCCCACACUGGUACUGAGACACGGACCAGACUCCUACGGGAGGCAGCAGUGAGGAAUAUUGGACAAUGGGCGCAAGCCUGAUCCAGCCAUGCCGCGUGCAGGAAGAAGGUCCUAUGGAUUGUAAACUGCUUUUAUACAGGAAGAAACACACCCUCGUGAGGGUACUUGGCGGUACUGUAUGAAUAAGGACCGGCUAACUCCGUGCCAGCAGCCGCGGUAAUACGGAGGGUCCAAGCGUUAUCCGGAAUCAUUGGGUUUAAAGGGUCCGUAGGCGGUUUAAUAAGUCAGUGGUGAAAGCCCAUCGCUCAACGAUGGAACGGCCAUUGAUACUGUUAAACUUGAAUUAUUAGGAAGUAACUAGAAUAUGUAGUGUAGCGGUGAAAUGCUUAGAGAUUACAUGGAAUACCAAUUGCGAAGGCAGGUUACUACUAAUAUAUUGACGCUGAUGGACGAAAGCGUGGGGAGCGAACAGGAUUAGAUACCCUGGUAGUCCACGCCGUAAACGAUGGAUACUAGCUGUUCGGAGCAAUCUGAGUGGCUAAGCGAAAGUGAUAAGUAUCCCACCUGGGGAGUACGUUCGCAAGAAUGAAACUCAAAGGAAUUGAC
rnacentral:rRNA from 1 species